rnacentral:misc_RNA from 1 species
AAGGAUAUAUUCGGAACAUCUCKUAGAGAUGAUGGAUUAACGUGACAUAUUGUAUUCAGUUUUGAAUGUUUAUUUCAAACAUUCAAAUUAAAUGAUGAUUGCAUUAAACAUUAUAAUUUGAUAUAAURUUUAAUUGUGAUUGUUGAAAAUAUUAUUUAAAGAAAUCGUUUCUCAGACGAUGAGUUGAAUAAAUUUAAAACGCAGUUUACUUUCGUAAAUGAGCAUUUAAAUUUGUGAUAACGAAGAAGUAUGAAAAYGAUUGACUAAAUAAUUUAAAUUGUACAUUGAAAACUAGAUAAGUAAGUAAAUAGAUUUUACCAAGCAAAACCGAGUGAAUAGAGUUUUAAAUAAGCUUGAAUUCAUAAAAAAUAAUCGCUAGUGUUCGAAAGAACACUCACAGAUUAAUAACUAUAUUA